GUGCACCAGGCGCGAAACCUUCGCAAUGCGGGAAACCGCGACGAGGGGACUCCCAGUGCCUACGCUCAGCGUAGGCUGUUCCCGAGCCUAGAAAGCUCGGGGAGUAAGGGCUGGGUAAGACGGGUGCCAGCCGCCGCGGUAAUACCCGCAGCCCGAGUGGUGGCCACUAUUAUUGGGCCUAAAGCGUCCGUAGCCGGCCCGGUAAAUGCCUGGGUAAAUCGUGAGGCCUAACCUCACGAAUUCCGGGUAGACUGCCGGGCUAGGGACCGGAGGAGGGAGAGGGGUACUCCGAGGGGUAGGGGUGAAAUCCUGUGAUCCCUGGAGGACCACCGGUGGCGAAGGCGCUCUCCUAGGACGGGUCCGACGGUGAGGGACGAAAGCCAGGGGGAGCGAACCGGAUUAGAUACCCCUGUAGU
rnacentral:rRNA from 1 species